rnacentral:rRNA from 1 species
UACAGAGGGUGCGAGCGUUGUUCGGAAUUAUUGGGCGUAAAGGGCGCGUAGGCGGCGCCACAAGUCACCUGUGAAAACUCUGGGCUUAACUCAGAGCCUGCAGGCGAAACUGUGGUGCUGGAGUAUGGGAGAGGUGCGUGGAAUUCCCGGUGUAGCGGUGAAAUGCGCAGAUAUCAGGAGGAACACCAACAGCGAAGGCAGAUCUCUGGGACGUUACUGACGCUGAGACGCGAAAGCGUGGGGAGCAAACAGG